UACGUAGGGUGCGAGCGUUAAUCGGAAUUACUGGGCGUAAAGCGUGCGCAGGCGGGCUUUUAAGCCAGACGUGAAAUCCCCGGGCUUAACCUGGGAAUGGCGUUUGGGACUGGGAGUCUGGAGUACGGCAGAGGAGACUGGAAUUCCUGGUGUAGCAGUGAAAUGCGUAGAUAUCAGGAGGAACACCGAUGGCGAAGGCGGCUCUCUGGUACGGUAUUGACGCUGAGACGCGAAAGCGUGGGGAGCGAACAGG
rnacentral:rRNA from 1 species